ensembl:lncRNA LINC02180 long intergenic non-protein coding RNA 2180
AGGUCUUGAACACUGCUGGAAGCCUACUAGAUAUUUAAUGUAAUCACCAUGAUAAUGGCUAAGAUUUAUUAAGCAUCUGCUAUGUGCUUUAUGGUGCUAAGAACUUCUCAUGUAUUUACUCAUUGAAUCUUCACAAAAACCUUAUGAACAUCAGAGCUGAUGAAUACUCAGUCAGAAGAAAUGCAGGCCUGCAGGUUUGUCCACAAAGUGUUCCCAUCAACCGUGUAAGACGGCUCUCUCAAAUGUUACUGUCUAUAUGAAUCCACCUUGGGAUAUUAGUAAAAUGAGUUUCUGAUACAGAAGAUCUAGAAAGCGCCUGAAAUGCUGAUAUUCUGUCUCCCAGGUGGAGGAGUUCAGCUAUUACCUUGACUUUGCCGAAGUCCUAGGCACUCCCAUGCCCUCAGAGUCUCAUUUUGAAUCCAGGCACUUAGGGAUGCUAUUUUUCCACAUCAAACAGCUUCCUCCCAGCCAAAGAAUUCUGGUGACAGUAGUGAAGAUAAUUUUCACUCCUGCUUACAGAAUGACAAAGCAAAAGCAAAGAGGAGAAGAAUGAAGUAAAGACAACCAAAGGAAAAGACUGAUGGCUCCUUAAGAAUGAUCUUGAUAAAGGAAUGGUGGCUGAGGGGUCCAUCUCCUAAACCACCCACCUUACUGACUCCCUAGAGCAAUGCCAUACAGAAAGCUGCACCUUGAGGGGAAGACACAAGAAUCCUGGAGUGGAAAAAAAUUGGGUAAUGAUGACAGCCUUCGAGGUCUUGAGAGUAAAGCAGAAGCAAAAAAAAAGUGUUAUUUUUAUCUUUUGAAGAUGGUUCCCUCUUAAGACUUUUGCGAAUGAUUAAGAUUUCAAUUAUGUUCCAGGAAAAAAAUAAGAUUUUUGCUUGACAAAAAAAAUUUUUGUCUAGAACAGGUGGGAAGGAAGAGAUAGUUUAGCCACAUCCAAGAGACCUGUAAAUUGGGUACAGUGAAGUGAAUGGUGUACCAGUCAUAAAAGAAUGUUAACUGGAGAAGUCUCUGCUGUCUUCCUGUAACUGAGGGGGGUGUAACCAUCCUUGUGGAAGCGUCCACUUUUAUUGAAGAUUGGCUAAAUAAAUCUGUGCCUACUGAAACUCAA